rnacentral:rRNA from 1 species
UACGUAGGGUGCGAGCGUUGUCCGGAAUUAUUGGGCGUAAAGAGCUCGUAGGCGGUCUGUCGCGUCUGCUGUGAAAAUCAGGGCUCAACCCUGGACCUGCAGUGGGUACGGGCAGACUAGAGUGCGGUAGGGGGAGAUCGGAAUUCCUGGUGUAGCGGUGAAAUGCGCAGAUAUCAGGAGGAACACCGGUGGCGAAGGCGGAUCUCUGGGCCGUAACUGACGCUGAGGAGCGAAAGCAUGGGGAGCGAACAGG